GAACGAUGAUCCCAGCUUGCUGGGGGAUUAGUGGCGAACGGGUGAGGUAACACGUGAGUAACCUGCCCUUGACUCUGGGAUAAGCCUGGGAAACUGGGUCUAAUACCGGAUAUGACUGUCUGACGCAUGUCAGGUGGUGGAAAGCUUUUGUGGUUUUGGAUGGACUCGCGGCCUAUCAGCUUGUUGGUGGGGUAAUGGCCUACCAAGGCGACGACGGGUAGCCGGCCUGAGAGGGUGACCGGCCACACUGGGACUGAGACACGGCCCAGACUCCUACGGGAGGCAGCAGUGGGGAAUAUUGCACAAUGGGCGCAAGCCUGAUGCAGCGACGCCGCGUGAGGGAUGACGGCCUUCGGGUUGUAAACCUCUUUCAGUAGGGAAGAAGCGAAAGUGACGGUACCUGCAGAAGAAGCGCCGGCUAACUACGUGCCAGCAGCCGCGGUAAUACGUAGGGCGCAAGCGUUAUCCGGAAUUAUUGGGCGUAAAGAGCUCGUAGGCGGUUUGUCGCGUCUGCUGUGAAAGACCGGGGCUCAACUCCGGUUCUGCAGUGGGUACGGGCAGACUAGAGUGCAGUAGGGGAGACUGGAAUUCCUGGUGUAGCGGUGAAAUGCGCAGAUAUCAGGAGGAACACCGAUGGCGAAGGCAGGUCUCUGGGCUGUAACUGACGCUGAGGAGCGAAAGCAUGGGGAGCGAACAGGAUUAGAUACCCUGGUAGUCCAUGCCGUAAACGUUGGGCACUAGGUGUGGGGGACAUUCCACGUUUUCCGCGCCGUAGCUAACGCAUUAAGUGCCCCGCCUGGGGAGUACGGCCGCAAGGCUAAAACUCAAAGGAAUUGACGGGGGCCCGCACAAGCGGCGGAGCAUGCGGAUUAAUUCGAUGCAACGCGAAGAACCUUACCAAGGCUUGACAUGAACCGGUAAUACCUGGAAACAGGUGCCCCGCUUGCGGUCGGUUUACAGGUGGUGCAUGGUUGUCGUCAGCCUCGUGUCGUGAGAUGUUGGUUUAAGUCCCGCACGAA
rnacentral:rRNA from 1 species